CUAACAAAACAGUACAUAGACAAGUUUUGUGUUUCGUUGCCUUUCUUUGUACCCACAGUUAUUAUAGUUGCGGGGACUACGUGGGCGGAAUAUUGUCUAAGUUCAGCGGGUUGAUAUUUGUUUGCUCGAGUAUGAGAUGAGAGCGCCGAAAUUAAUUUUGUGGAUUGAAUUUGAUGUUGAUUAAAUAACGUGGAUCGUUCUUAUAUUACUGACGAGGAUUUAGUGAAUUUUAUGAGAGACUUUAUGUGCUGCAAAACUAGAUUAAUGACUAAAUUACUAACAUCUCUACAAAUUUUGAAAUGUGCUUAUUGUUAAAGUGAUAGGAACAGAAUUAUAACUAUAAUUUGCUAAAGAUACGCAUAACGGUUAAAAUUUUGCCAGCCAGCCAGCAUUUGAUUAAAUGAAGAUUCUGAGGAUCGGGUAACUGCCGCUGCUGUUGUACGGGCACCUCGGUCCGAGUUUAUGACCGCCCUACAAUAUUGUGCGUGGAAACUUAAUGAAAAGGAAACACCGACAGAAUUACAUACGGUAGAAAAAAUACACGACGUCGACCACGAUACGUUUAUAAUAUGGCUAAAUAAUUGUGAGUUAUGCUCAAGGCCGACAUUUCCAUUCAAGUUCUUUACCACGGUCGUAUAUGCCGACAGAGUGAAAUAUAUAUCUUCCAAAUGGCCUUUACAGAUUACUAUGUUUAAUUAUUAUUUUGACUAACUUAUUAUGUUUUAUCUGUAUCAAAUGUAUGGUAUGAGUAUCAUAGAAUCGUAUAUAGUUGAUUCAAAAUUUAACCUUCCGAUAGUGAUUCGAUUCGGCAAAAUUUUAGUUUGCAUCUCAAUUAUCCUUGCCGAGUGCGAUUCCAAUUAUAGAAGUAACAUGUAAAGGACUUACUAUCAGAACCCCUAUUGGAGGGUAAAAUUUUUCUAUCCAAUAGUUAGGAUACUUGAAUGUUCGAAAAUAUCAUUAAAUAUUAAUGUUAAAUCUUUAUACAUUUAAUUUGCAACAUUUUCUUCCAAGUAUUAUUGGCUUUAACUACUGUUGCUAUCUUCCAUUAACAUUGAUCUAAGUUUAAUAUACCUAGAAUUUAAAAAUAAUAAAACUUAAUAAAAUACAUACAUCAGAA